AGCCGUCGCUACGCAGGCGCAGUGCGGCCGGGCACCGGGUAAGGCGGAGGGCAGGGGCCCGGCCGGCGGAUGCGCGCUCCCGGCGGGCGGGGAGCGAGGCGCGCGCCAUGGAACAGCGGUUAGCCGAGUUCCGGGCGGCCAGGAAACGGGCCGGGCUGGCGGCCGAACCUAGCACUUCAAGCGCGAGUGCACAAACCUCAGGAGAGAAGGCGGAAGCAACUACGACUCCAAAGGCAGCCCUAGGCUGGCUAAAACGGUUCCUGGUGUGGAAACCGAGGCCUGCGAGUAUCCAGGUUCAGCCCUGCCUCGCUCAGGAAGUGGCUCGGCCUCGGACCAGCACAUCACAGCCACCACAGAAUAUAACUAUUCCUCUGCCAGCACCCCGGGACCAGUCUUUCCUGACCAAUGUCACCUUCCUGAAGGUUCUUCUCUGGUUGGUCCUGCUGGGACUGUUUGUGGAACUGGAAUUUGGCCUGGCCUAUUUUGUCCUGUCCUUGUUCUACUGGAUGUAUGUCGGGACACGAGGCCCUGAAGAGAAGAGAGAGGGAGAGAAGAGCGCCUACUCUGUGUUCAACCCAGGCUGCGAAGCUAUCCAGGGCACCCUGACUGCAGAGCAGUUUGAACGCGAGUUACAGUUCAGACCCCUGGAGGGGAGAUAGGUCCAACUCUCUUGCUGUGCAGCUGGCCUCCCACGUGGUCCUCCUCACCCUUGGACGUGGGCUUGUGGGUUUGAUUUCAGGUUCCCAAGACUAAGGACAGCUUGCAGGUGAGGAGUAAAGACCAAGACUAAGUCCGUGAAGGAAACUGAGAAGCAAAGAAGGGCUGUAUCUGAGCAGCAGGUGGCGUUCCGGACCCGGAGAAUGUGCGAGAAUGUGGUUGCAGCUGAUAAUGCCAGGACUCCAUGGUUAUGGCAUCUUUUCUGGGCUUGUGGCCCCAUCAUGCCUUGGUUGGCAGGCUUUGUGAUCUUUACUGUUUUCUGAGAGAAGGUGUUUUUAUAAAUACCUUAUGUAACGUAUGGUGUUAUGGACAUUCCUCUUGAUUACUAAGAAUAUUCCAACACAGUAUAAUUUGUAUGGUAACCUGAUUUCUUUUAUAUGAGUGUACAUGUCUUUUUUUUUUUUAUUGUAUUUUUUUAAAGUAGGCUCCACACCCAACGUGGGGCUUGAACUCACACCCUUUAAGUCAAGAGUUUCAGGCUCUACCGACUGAGCCAGCCAGGUGCCCCAGUAUACAUGUCUUUUCAUCUGAUUUUUUACUGUACCUUUCCAAAGGAUGCUGUUGGAAGGACGUUGGCUUAGCUUCGUCACAGUGAGAUGUCUUUAGUGUGUGUCUCCUGUAUGUUGGUUCUCCAGUCUCUGCUUCCCAAACCAGGACUUGAAAAGUGAAAGGACUUCUGGGUGGUUUCAUUGUAAAGUGCCGUCUAAUCGGUGGAUACCAGUUGAGCUUCUGUAAAACUGUAAAUUUCAUUUCCUAGGCAUUUUUAAAGUUCUGAAGCUUUCUGGAGGGCAGAAUAUAUGGUGAUAAAACAUUUGUCUCUUUUGUACAGAAAUGCACAUAAAUGGUUAGAGAAUGUUGAAGAUUGGACCAAACUAGUACAGUAACUGUGGCUGCUUUGUUGUAGCUAUUUAAUGUGUGUCGUUAAUGCGCACAAGUCCUGAGCUCUGUUUCUGAUUCUAC